GCUGGGCGUAGUGGUGCAUGCCUGUAAUCCUAGCAACUCAGGAGGCUGAGGCAGGAAGAUCACAAGUUGAAGGCCAGCCUCAGCAACUUAGUGAGACCCAGUUUCAA
rnacentral:sRNA from 1 species